CGUUACUGCUGAGCCACAAUGAGAACUCCUCUAACUUAAAACUUAAACACAAGUUUUCAGGUCCGCUGGCACAGCUUAGCUUCACAUUUCACGUCAGAUGAAAAGUGGCCAGCCGGCUUUGCUCUAUGUGUCUCUCAGCCUUGUCUCAUGGUCAUGACAGAAGCAUGGUGGUGGCCCGACUAGUCAAAUGCAUAACCUGCAUCAAGUCUACUAACUCACUGACUACACGCCUAAACUCUAGAGACAGGAAGUGUAUUCAUCAUUUGUAGGAAGAAUUUCAAAGUUACAUUAAAAAGACAUGAAUACAGGAAGAAGGGAAGAAUUGAGACCAAAACUUAAUUUAUUAUCUCUCUUGCUAUUUACCAGAAAGUACUGCUGAACCCAAAUACGGAUGUUAGAGUAUGCCAAAUAAGAUCUUCAAGGACCCAAGAAGGAAAGUGUACAUGGCCAUGUAAGAAAGAACGUUUAAUUAUCAAGCUCUGGGGCCUAGGAAGUCCAAGAUCAGGAUGCCAGCAAAUUCAGUGUCUGGGCAAGCACAUCUGGUACUCAGAAGCAUUGCUGCAAUCUCACACAAAGAGGACUAGUUGAUGAAGCUUCUUGAAUAUCCCAAGUGCCAAUGAAAGCGACUUGGCUUCCUCUGAAUACUCUAUUUCAUGCCCCAAAUACUGUGGGAAAAGCUUGCAAUUUGGGAAAGAAGAGCAAGAAUAUUCCCAUGUGGACAUCUGGGAAAGGCAUCUUGCCUUUGCCCCUCUCAAGGCCAAAAUCUGUGUUGGACUUGAUAGAUACCUUCAACUAGAUAUGAGAACUGGAGAGCAGGGGAAUACUGUGUCCUAACUUCUAUCUGGAUUGUUAGGAGGGGGAAGUAAUGCAGAACACCCCAGUCAUCAUGGAGUAAGAAUGCAUACAGGGCAGUUCUAGGAAGAACUCCCAUCUCCCCCCCCCCCCAACCCCUGCUUUCCAUGGGCCCAGUGUGAAUGAGCAUCUGAAUAAUUUCCAUGUCCCAUGAAAAUGAUACAAAGGAAGGCUGAAGAAAUCCAGGUGGCAUGCCUUGGAGCUGGAAUGAGGAAUAAGUAGAAUGAGCUAUGUUGUCUUGGAAAUUGGAGAGUAAGGCAGUACCAUGGAUAGCAGCAGCAGAUGGCAGAGGGGCUGGAUGGAGAUCAUUUGAUUAUAGAUCUCGGUGCAGCCUAACUAGGGAAGAAAAUGGCCGUGGUUCGCUCUCAACUUUUCCUGUGGCCCUAAUCAUGUGUAAGUACUUUUGGAGAGAAAGACAUUUUCCUCUGCCCUUCUAAAUUUUUCUGACUGGUCUAAGAAUCAAAUUGGCAUGACUAAGGUUAAGCGUAGAAAAAUCAAACAAACGUUUAAUAAUAUGUAUCGCGAGAGAGAACCAGGAAAGCUAACUCCUCAAAUACCAUCUUCAACUAAAAAUAAAAGAGGAUGUUGGGGGUAGUCAUUUGGGACCUGAAAGGGAAGGAAGGCAGCUCGCAUGGAGACGGAAAAGCCCUGCAGAGACGAUGGACACAGAAUGAACCCUGAUCUCUAGCCCCUGCUGAGUUUCUCCCACUACAUCCACCCCAUAUUCUUUGCAGAUAUCUCUAUUCUAGGAAUAGCCCCUUUAGACCACUAAGGAAGUAAAAAGAAAGAC